rnacentral:rRNA from 1 species
UACGAAGGGGGCUAGCGUUGUUCGGAAUCACUGGGCGUAAAGGGCGCGUAGGCGGCUUUUCAAGUCGGGGGUGAAAGCCUGUGGCUCAACCACAGAAUUGCCUUCGAUACUGUUAGGCUUGAGACCGGAAGAGGUGAGUGGAACUGCGAGUGUAGAGGUGAAAUUCGUAGAUAUCAGGAGGAACACCGGUGGCGAAGGCGGUUCUCUGGGCAUGAUCUGACGCUGAGGAGCGAAAGUGUGGGGAGCGAACAGG